rnacentral:rRNA from 1 species
AAGGUCCAUGGCCGAGAGGGAAAUAACCCAGAUUAGCAACUAAGGUCCCUAAUACAUGGUUAAGUUGAUCAAACGAGGUGGAGUUUCUAUAACAGCCAGGAUGUUGGCUUGGAAGCAGCCACUCAUUUAAAGAGUGCGUAACAGCUCACUGGUCGAGAGACUCUGCACGGAAAAUAAUCGGGCAUCAAACCAUGAACCGAAGUUCUAAGAUUGCCACUAGGUGGUAUAUCGGUAGGGGAGCAUUGAAAUCUGCUGCGAAGGUGUGUGGCGAUGCAUGCUGGAGCGAUUUCAAAAGAAAAUGUAGGCAUAAGUAACGAUAAUUAAAGUGAAAAACUUUAACGCCGUAAACCCAAGGUUUCCUGAUCAAUGUUAAUCAGAUCAGGGUUAGUCGGGUCCUUAGGCAAACCCGAAAGGGGUAGCUGAUGGCAAGUUGGUUAAUAUUCCAACACCUGCUUUAGAUUCGAUGGGGUGACGGGGUAGUGAAAGGUCCGCGUUCUUACGGAAUAGAACGUUAAAGGGUGUAGAUAUUAGUUGUGUAGGCAAAUCCGCACGAUUAGUCGAACCUGAUAGUACAGCAAAGCUUCGGCCGCGCUGAUAGUGACCCUAAUCAGACCUCCGAGAAAAACCUCUAAGUUAUGUUUAAAGCAGCCCGUACCGCAAACCGACACAGGUGGGUGGGAUGAAUAUUCUAAGGCGCUCGGGUGAGCCGUGGAGAAGGAACUAGGCAAAUUGACGCUGUAACUUCGGGAUAAAGCGUACCGUCUUCGGACGGUCUCAGUAAAAUGGUUCAACCAACUGUUUAGCAAAAACACAGGGCCCUGCAAAAUCGUAAGAUGACGUAUAGAGCCUGAUACCUGCCCGGUGCUGGAAGGUUAAGGAAGGAUGUUCGGCGCAAGCCAAAGCUUCUGACUGAAGCCCCAGUAAACGGCGGCCGUAACUAUAACGGUCCUAAGGUAGCGAAAUUCCUUGUCGGGUAAGUUCCGACCUGCACGAAUGGUCUAAUGAGUUGAACACUGUCUCCUCCACGAGCCCGGUGAAAUUGUAGUAUCGGUGAAGAUGCCGGUUACCCGUCACGGGACGGAAAGACCCCAUGAACCUUCACUACAACUUUGCAUUGAUUUUGAAUUUUUGAUGUGUAGGAUAGUUGGGAGACUUUGAAGCUGUGUCGCUAGGCAUGGUGGAGUCGUCGUUGAAAUACCAACCUUUAAACAUUUAGAAUCUAAUCCCUAACGGGAAACAGUGCAUGGUGGGUAGUUUGACUGGGGUGGUCGCCUCCUAAAGUGUAACGGAGGCUUGCAAAGGUUCCCUCAGUACGGUUGGUAAUCGUACAUAGAGCGUAUUAGUAUAAGGGAGCUUGACUGUGAGACUUACAAGUCGAGCAGGGACGAAAGUCGGCUAAAGUGAUCCGGCGGUUCUGUAUGGAAGGGCCGUCGCUCAAAGGAUAAAAG